rnacentral:lncRNA from 1 species
AUGGGAGGCCCGUCUCCAUGGCGCCCGUCGGCACCGCCCCCCUCGCGGCGCUGGCGGCCGCAACAUGGCAGCGGCGCCUCCCGGCGGCGGCUCCGCGCUCUGAGCGCUCCGGGGCCGGGCCGAGGCGGGGCAGCGGCGGCGGCCGUGAGGGGCCNNNNNNNNNNNNNNNNNNNNGAGGGGCCCCGCGGGCCUGGGAGCCGCCGCCAGCACCGCGACGGCCCCGCCGCUGCCGGCCGUGGCUGUGAGGGGAGCCCGGCGGCGGCGGCCGCCCCGCUUUUGUCCGCCGGGAGCGGGGCCUGGGGGGGGCGCGAGGCGACCCCGGCCCCCUCAGUCCGUCCGUCCGUCCGUCAGCGCCUCUCCGUCUGUCCGGCCGUGCCCAGCUGCCGCCAGCUAGCAAUCCUACUACAGCAGUUCUUCCACCAGGUUAUAAGGCAGAGCCCGAGUGAACCAAGCGCCGAGUCUUUGCAGAGGCAUAUCUGCAUGGAUGUAUAGAAAGGAUAUAGUUACGAAAACAAGACAUGUUCAGCUACUCAAGCAUCCACUCUGGCACGGAGCCACAGCCUCUCUUACUGAAUUGAUCGGGUGCCUUGUGAACCUAAUCAGAGAGGUCCAAUUUACACCGGUAGGUUGUAUAUUAAAAAAGGGGGGGGGAGAGGGCAGAAAAAGCAGAACUUUGGCGCUUUCCUGUCUGCGUGUUCCUCCCUAAUCCUGUAACUUUUCCAGUUCCUUGACAAUUAAUGCGGCUGUUCAGUCUUGCUUCUAUUUAAAUCUGUAGUGUUUUUAUGACCGAUUGCUACAGGACGAACCCCAAGUUUCUGUAAUAAUAAUACACCGCAGCGGUUGUUAAUGAGAUGGUGAAAAUACCAAAACGAGGAGG